GAUGAACGCUGGCGGCGCGCCUAAUACAUGCAAGUCGAGCGAACAGACGAGGAGCUUGCUCCUCUGACGUUAGCGGCGGACGGGUGAGUAACGCGUGGAUAACCUACCUAUAAGACUGGGAUAACUUCGGGAAACCGGAGCUAAUACCGGAUAAUAUAUUGAACCGCAUGGUUCAAUAGUGAAAGACGGUUUUGCUGUCACUUAUAGAUGGAUCCGCGCCGCAUUAGCUAGUUGGUAAGGUAACGGCUUACCAAGGCAACGAUGCGUAGCCGACCUGAGAGGGUGAUCGGCCACACUGGAACUGAGACACGGUCCAGACUCCUACGGGAGGCAGCAGUAGGGAAUCUUCCGCAAUGGGCGAAAGCCUGACGGAGCAACGCCGCGUGAGUGAUGAAGGUCUUCGGAUCGUAAAACUCUGUUAUUAGGGAAGAACAAAUGUGUAAGUAACUAUGCACGUCUUGACGGUACCUAAUCAGAAAGCCACGGCUAACUACGUG
rnacentral:rRNA from 1 species